rnacentral:rRNA from 1 species
GAUGAACGCUGGCGGCGUGCCUAAUACAUGCAAGUCGAGCGAACAGAUGAGGAGCUUGCUCCUCUGACGUUAGCGGCGGACGGGUGAGUAACACGUGGAUAACCUACCUAUAAGACUGGGAUAACUUCGGGAAACCGGAGCUAAUACCGGAUAAUAUAUUGAACCGCAUGGUUCAAUAGUGAAAGACGGUUUUGCUGUCACUUAUAGAUGGAUCCGCGCCGCAUUAGCUAGUUGGUAAGGUAACGGCUUACCAAGGCAACGAUGCGUAGCCGACCUGAGAGGGUGAUCGGCCACACUGGAACUGCGACACGGUCCAGACUCCUACGGGAGGCAGCAGUAGGGAAUCUUCCGCAAUGGGCGAAAGCUUGACGGAGCAACGCCGCGUGAGUGAUGAAGGUCUUCGGAUCGUAAAACUCUGUUAUUAGGGAAGAACAAAUGUGUAAGUAACUAUGCACGUCUUGACGGUACCUAAUCAGAAAGCCACGGCUAACUACGUG